CAGUAGGGAAUCUUCCGCAAUGGGCGAAAGCCUGACGGAGCAACGCCGCGUGAGUGAUGAAGGUCUUCGGAUCGUAAAACUCUGUUGUUAGGGAAGAACAAAUUUGUUAGUAACUGAACAAGUCUUGACGGUACCUAACCAGAAAGCCACGGCUAACUACGUGCCAGCAGCCGCGGUAAUACGUAGGUGGCAAGCGUUAUCCGGAAUUAUUGGGCGUAAAGCGCGCGUAGGCGGUUUCUUAAGUCUGAUGUGAAAGCCCACGGCUCAACCGUGGAGGGUCAUUGGAAACUGGGAAACUUGAGUGCAGAAGAGGAGAGUGGAAUUCCAUGUGUAGCGGUGAAAUGCGCAGAGAUAUGGAGGAACACCAGUGGCGAAGGCGGCUCUCUGGUCUGUAACUGACGCUGAUGUGCGAAAGCGUGGGGAUCAAACAGGAUUAGAUACCCUGGUAGUCCACGCCGUAAACGAUGAGUGCUAAGUGUUAGGGGGUUUCCGCCCCUUAGUGCUGCAGCUAACGCAUUAAGCACUCCGCCUGGGGAGUACGACCGCAAG
rnacentral:rRNA from 1 species